rnacentral:rRNA from 1 species
GCAAGUCGAGCGGAGAGAGGUAGCUUGCUACCGAUCUUAGCGGCGGACGGGUGAGUAAUGCUUAGGAAUCUGCCUAUUAGUGGGGGACAACAUUUCGAAAGGAAUGCUAAUACCGCAUACGUCCUACGGGAGAAAGCAGGGGAUCUUCGGACCUUGCGCUAAUAGAUGAGCCUAAGUCGGAUUAGCUAGUUGGUGGGGUAAAGGCCUACCAAGGCGACGAUCUGUAGCGGGUCUGAGAGGAUGAUCCGCCACACUGGGACUGAGACACGGCCCAGACUCCUACGGGAGGCAGCAGUGGGGAAUAUUGGACAAUGGGCGCAAGCCUGAUCCAGCCAUGCCGCGUGUGUGAAGAAGGCCUUAUGGUUGUAAAGCACUUUAAGCGAGGAGGAGGCUACUCUAGUUAAUACCUAGAGAUAGUGGACGUUACUCGCAGAAUAAGCACCGGCUAACUCUGUGCCAGCAGCCGCGGUAAUACAGAGGGUGCAAGCGUUAAUCGGAUUUACUGGGCGUAAAGCGCGCGUAGGCGGCUAAUUAAGUCAAAUGUGAAAUCCCCGAGCUUAACUUGGGAAUUGCAUUCGAUACUGGUUAGCUAGAGUGUGGGAGAGGAUGGUAGAAUUCCAGGUGUAGCGGUGAAAUGCGUAGAGAUCUGGAGGAAUACCGAUGGCGAAGGCAGCCAUCUGGCCUAACACUGACGCUGAGGUGCGAAAGCAUGGGGAGCAAACAGGAUUAGAUACCCUGGUAGUCCAUGCCG